rnacentral:rRNA from 1 species
CCUACGGGGGGCAGCAGUGAGGAAUAUUGGUCAAUGGACGAGAGUCUGAACCAGCCAAGUAGCGUGAAGGAUGACUGCCCUAUGGGUUGUAAACUUCUUUUAUAUGGGAAUAAAAUGUUCCACGUGUGGGAUUUUGUAUGUACCAUAUGAAUAAGGAUCGGCUCACUCGGUGCCAGCAGCCGCGGUACUACGGAGGAUCCGAGCGUUAUCCGGAUUUAUUGGGUGUAAAGGGAACGUAGGUGGAUUGUUAAGUCAGUUGUGAAAGUUUGCGGCUCAACCGUAAAAUUGCAUGUGAUACGGGCAGGCUUGAGUACAGUAGAGGUGGGCGGAAUUCGUGGUGUAGCGGUGAAAUGCGUAGAUAUCACGAAGAACUCCGAUGGCGAAGGCAGUUCACUGGACUGCAACUGACACUGAGGCUCGAAAGUGUGGGUAGCAAACAGGAUUAGAUACCCCAGUAGUC